rnacentral:rRNA from 1 species
ACUCCUACGGGAGGCAGCAGUGGGGAAUAUUGCACAAUGGGCGCAAGCCUGAUGCAGCCAUGCCGCGUGUAUGAAGAAGGCCUUCGGGUUGUAAAGUACUUUCAGCAGUGAGGAAGGGUGGAGUCAGUUAAAGCGGCCUCAUUUGACGUUAGCUGCAGAAGAAGCACCGGCUAACUCCGUGCCAGCAGCCGCGGUAAUACGGAGGGUGCGAGCGUUAAUCGGAAUUACUGGGCGUAAAGCGCAUGCAGGUGGUUUGUUAAGUCAGAUGUGAAAGCCCGGGGCUCAACCUCGG